rnacentral:lncRNA from 1 species
CUGAGACAGUGAUCAGUUAUUAGACAGAAUGACACCAGCGAUCAAUUACACACACACACAUGGUGUGGAGGAAUGCAGUUUAGCGGUGGGUGAAGCGGUCGGACCAAUGCAGUUUAGCGGUGGGACCAAGUCUCCUCUCUUGAAACAUGUAGUGUCUUUCAGGCGUUAUGUUUAAAUGAUCCUGCAAGAUAACAUUGAUGAACUGGAUUUGUCCUUAAGUUUUCGACAUGAGGAAUUUAAUUACGUAAUUUUUGCCACCACAAACAACAUGAAGUGUUUUAAUUGCGGCAUUAUGGGCCAUAUGGUCAGUGCAUGUCCAGGUAGACAGGAUAAGUCAAAUGAGAAACCUUUAAAGGACGGGAACAUUGUAAAUGAAAAUGUAAAUCGGAAUGUCGCUGUGAUAGUCGCAGACGGUGAGGUGCCUGGACCGAGUUCAGUGCAGACAGCGGCUGUUACAGUAACGGUGGACGAGGAGCGGGCAGAUAGUUCUGAGGAAGAUGAAGGGAUGAUGGUUACUGUGGGUGAAGAUAAUGAGGUGGAGAAUACAGACUGUGUUGUGGACACGGUAGACAAACCUCCUGUUAAUUUUGAAAGUGUGAUGGAGACUGAGUUAGACAAUUGUGCUUUUAAAACGCCACUGAAGCGAAGGCUAGAACAGCGUCCUUCAAAUCAGCAAGCAAAAAAAGGGUUGGUUUGCGAUUUAAGUCAAACGGACACAGGAAGUGAAAGUGAUUUCUCAGAAUGUAGUGUGGAGUGCAGUAUUCCGCUAAGUGGUUUUUCCAAUAAGAGUUAUAGUUCAGAUGACAUUAAAUAUUUUUUGAAAGCAACCAAGAAUGCGAGAAAAGUUCGUAUUGAAGAGCAUUUUCCUGAUGUGCUGCAGUUCAUUGAUAAAGCAAAAAUAUAUAGGAGUGAAGGGUGUUUUAGCAAUCAAGAAAUAUAUCGUCUGAAGAAAAUACUUGCCAAGCUUAAUGCCCAACCAGAGUCCAAUGGUUGUAAUGAAAAAUGAAAAAUGAAAAGCACAUUAUUGGGGGUUUGUGUUUGUUGAGUCUAAUUUGCUUUUUCCUUUCCUCAUUUAUGGGAGAAAUAUGUAUUGCAUUUCCUGAUGUGCUGCAGUUCAAUUAGAUAAAGCUAAAAAUAUAUAGGAGUGUAAGGGUGUUUUAGCAAUCAAGAAAUAUAUCGUCUAGAAGAAAAUACUUGCCAAGCUUAAUGCCCAACCAGAGUCCAAUAGUUGCAAUGAAAAUUGAAAAGCAC